rnacentral:lncRNA from 1 species
ACAAGUCCCCUCCUCCACCAUCACCUUCACCACCUCCUCCAUAUUACUACAAGUCUCCACCCCCACCAUCUCCAUCACCACCUCCUCCAUACUACUACAAGUCCCCUCCUCCACCAUCACCUUCACCCCCUCCUCCAUAUUACUACAAGUCUCCACCCCCACCAUCUCCCUCACCAUCUCCUCCAUACUACUACAAGUCUCCACCCCCACCAUCACCUUCACCUCCUCCACCAUAUUACUAUAAGUCACCACCACCUCCAUCCCCAUCACCACCUCCUCCAUAUUACUACAAAUCUCCACCCCCACCAUCUCCCUCACCUCCUCCUCCAUACUACUACAAGUCCCCGCCCCCACCAUCUCCUUCUCCUCCUCCACCAUAUUAUUAUAAGUCACCACCACCACCUUCACCUUCACCACCUCCUCCAUACGUAUAUAAGUCUCCCCCUCCACCUUCUCCGUCUCCUCCUCCACCAUAUUACUACAAGUCACCACCUCCUCCGUCUCCUUCACCGUCUCCAGCAUAUUACUACAAGUCUCCACCGCCUCCCGUAUAUUAAGAUUUUGGCUUAUGCAAGUUCAACAUUGUUACAGUUGUUUUGUAAUUACUCAUUCAUUAAUAAUAGGGUCUACACUGAAGUGAGAGUCUUAUUCUGACUGUAGUGUAGCCCAUGAAUUUGUAUUGGUUUUAAUUGAGAAGUGUGUAUUACUCUCUUUUUAUUAAUAUACAUUAUUACCAUAUUUUUGGUUUUCACUGAUGUUGGAUCCCAUUUUCUUUUUGCAUUACGAAAUUACGAUCUUGAUGAAAUUCACUAA